rnacentral:sRNA from 1 species
GCCAGGUGCGGUGGCGCACACCUGUAAUCUCAGCAGUUUGGGAGGCUGAGGCAGGAGGAUCAUGAGUUCAAAGCUCAGCAAAAGGGAGGCCCUAAGCAACUCAGGGAGACCCUGUCUCUA